ensembl:lncRNA
CUUAAAUUGCAGUUCUGAAAGGUGUGAACUACCUCAUUUAUCUCAGUUGGGGCUGGAAGGAUUCCCCUGUUCCAAUCUGUAGAAUCUGCUGAUUUGUACUGUGCCAUGGAAAUUCAGCAUUUUUGCUACUAAAUUCCCAGCCUUACUGCAAGCUAGUACUUUGCUUCCUUCCUCCAAGUUUUGCUGGAACUCAUUUGAAAUGUUAAAGUAAACUUUUUUUACUCUAAGGAUGAUUAGACAGUAGCAGAGGUUACCCAGAGAGGUUGUGAGUUUCCAUCCUUGGUGAAACUCAUGAAUAUGGUUGGAUGAGGUCUGGGCAAUCUGCUCUGGGCAACUCUGAGCAGUAAGGCUGCACUGGGCCAUUUUUAGUGGUCCCUUCCAAUCUCUGCCAUUGCAUGACUGAAUUUCUCCAUGGAAGGAGAUGACUGCUCUAUCGUAGCAUUUGCUCUUCAUGCACUGCUCCAUGGACACCUCCAACAAACAUAUAGGGACUUAAUUAAUGCAUACAGGUCCAGUCCACAGAUGUCAGCUUACCAGUUAAUACACUGCCAUAUGCAGGUGGGAAAAACAGCAGCAAGGCCCUAUGAAACCAUUAAAAACACUCUCCUGUCUAUAUAAAAUGUUGCUAACGUGUCUGGGUAGGAGUCAGCUGGGUAGAGCUGCCAUAAUGAAAAUCUGCUAUCCCUAGAGCCUCAAAGCUGUGCUUUGAUGCAGGAUGACUCAACACAGAAAGCCUAGAGGAUCCUUGCAUAUGCUGGACCAGUGAUGAGUUGGCAAAGACUCUUGCCAAAAACACGUCCACAAACAGCUAUCUUGACUGGAUUAAUUUCUAGUUCUUCAUACUUCACAAUAAGAUGAGAAUUCUGAGACUUGUAUAACAACAACUUAAGGCACCUCUGCCCACUUUCAGCUCCACAGCACCCACUCAUAAUAUAUUUCUUUUACCAUGUUUAUGUUUUGCCUCAAACUGAGGUGGGAUUUGUGUUGGACAGAUUUAGGCAACUAAAACUUAGAAGCCUAACAUCAGCUAUUCAGCUGAGAUCCCCUUAAAAUAAAUCAAUGAAACAGACACCCCACAAGAACAAGACUUCAUUUUCUAGGAUAAGUAUUUGAGACAGGUGGAAUACAAAGAAUUCUAGAUAGGUUUGCUGUUCUCCAUUGGCAUUAAAAGAAACCUAGAUAUGCAACUUUCAGGUAUCAAAAUUUGUUUAAGAGGUAAUCUGGUAAGAUUACAUGUUUUUUGGAACAGCACAUUCUAUGGUGAGGAAUCACUUUGUGCCUUCCCUUGCUGUCAUGGUACAAAUAUGCAUGGUAUUAUGAAUGCAGUUAUUUGUCACAGCGAAUGUUUUUAAGUUACUACACAACACUUUUCUUCUAGAGUGAAACAAUGCAAACUGAAAAGCAUGUUUGCAAUUAAAUGUUUUAGUCUAAGAACAGCUCAAACGUGUAUUCCAGUACCUCCUUUUGGUUGAAGUUGGCAAAAUGAAAGCAAAGGCUGGUCAGCACAUUUUCCAUCAUAAUCUAAGACUACGCAGAUGGAUCACAAAGAACUUCAGCAGUCAACACUACAUGCUUUAACGCGGACUAAAGCAAACUCAAGAUAAGCUUCAUCAAUAGCUAGAAGUGAACUUAAAAACAAAAAUGUUCAAAGCCAUUACGAAAUGAAAGCUACCUGUGAGGUACUGUGACACUAGAAGCUCCCAGGCUGAAUGAAAUAUGAAACUUGCUGGAAGAGUACAACACAGGUUACAUGCACCUUGCAACAGUUAUCCCACAAGGAUACAGAAAAGCUGAGAUGUUUUUUGAGAUCCAAGGGGAGGUUCAAGAAUUACAAUUAUAAAAAGCACAAGCACUUAGCGCUAACACCUCCAAACAGUAUCUCAAGUACAGGAAGGAUGGCCCCCAGACACAAGCCCUCAGAGCUGGACCUGAAGCAACAUGCUCUCAAGCUUCGUGAAGCCCGGAACCUCUCUCUGCUUCCAGCAGUGUGCAAAGACACCCUGCAGUACUAGGCUAUUAAUCAAUGCCUAAAGGCAAAACAAAAAGCUGUGUUCAGACUUCACACAGCUGCAACUUCUUCCACCUAAACCCCAGAGGUCCGAAAAUCUCUUUGAUUAGUAGGAACAAGUGUUCCACGAGUAACUAAUCCACAGAGGAGUAAGUGCGAGAGCAUCAAAGUGUCCAUAAACACUCAAAUUGCUCAGCACAGCUAGGCAUUCAGCCUUUAAAAAUGCAGCCUCACUGAGAAACUAUGCACCAUGAACAAACCAGUCACCAAGUACACCAAAGGCGAGGCAAAGAAACACAUCACUGAAACACUAUUUUGUGUUCCCACCAGUUUAACUCAUCUUCAUACAAAGACAGUAUGAAACAUAAGGUACUUUGGUUACCAUUAAAAAAGCAACACUUUAAUAUAAAACAUUAAGAAAUGGUGUCCUUAAGCUAGAUCAGGAGUCUCGUAUCCUUAAAGACUGUGUUAAGUGUGAAGCUGUCAGUAGCAUUAGUAUUCACUAACGACAAGAGGAAUUUUGUCCCAUUUAUAACAAGCUGUUAUGCUUUCCCUAUCUGUGAAAAGCCAGUGCAGUCAAGCCAUGGGAAAUAUAAGAAAAUUACUGGAAUUAGCAGGGGUGUAUACGUUUCUGUGUUUCUAGGAAGGCUGAAGUACGAGAAUUUCACAGAUGUGGGGACUUUUGAGAGCGUUCCAAUUGAAACAAACUUGCAACAAACCCUGCGGAGAGGUUCAUUCAACAGGAUGAGCUAACCAAGAAAACAGUCAUUUCUGGCUAGUUGCAUCAAUAUUAGCAGCAGCUGUGAACUCGGUAAACAGCUCUGUUUUCUGGUUGUCAAAGAGCUGCUAAAGCAGAUGUGAAACUCAUCAAAAAUAGGUCACGAGCAGAGAACAUGCAAGGGAAUGCAUCAAUACCAGAGUGAUCUGAAAAUAAGCAAUGCUGGAUUAUCUCAAUAGUGUUUAUUACCCCCAAAUUGUACCUAACACACAACGGCAACCAACAUACUCUUUAAUGUGAUUGCUAUGACAGGAUCUUCCUCAUAGCACAGUGGGUGAAUAAGGGUGUGGUGUUUUCAGCAGCUGAAGUACCAGAAAGAAGAAAAGGUACUGAAUUGCUCUCUGCUUACUUCUGAAUGAGGUUUUCUGAGGCAGGUUUUCAUGCCUGUCCUUCUUCUCAAACUCUAAUCAUCUCAGACUGAGGUAUCACAAUAAGCCAAACACAGAAUUCGCCACAGCUUAUUUUACUUUUGCCACUACAAACAGAUUACAAGUACACUCUGUCCGAUAGGCAACCCUCCAGCAACAGCCAUUCCUCCACGGGCAGGAAUCGUGGCCAACACAGCAAUGACCUUCCCCCCUCGUGGCCCACAGGACUCACUUCCUCAGAAUUCCCCCAUACGGAAAUUCACUUGGAUCUACUUCUAGGACUCUCACAGUAUGUAAAACACUUAACUUUCUUUACUGUCAAGAAUAUAAAGGCAGAAGGCUUAGCUCUAAAGGAAACAGACUAAGAAAAAAAAAUGGCGUGCUUCUUCUACAGUGGGACUAAACAAGGAACCUGUAUGUCCUGCUAUUGCUGCACCGAAUCUCCAUGGCCAUCCUUCACAGUGCAGGUGUGAGGCUGCCUUUGGCCAAAUGCCUUCAACAAGCUGAGUUGAAGCCCCAUAGCCUGAAGCAGACAAGUACUUCCCCAGUCAGUCAGUUACUGGGUGAGGACAGACACUCUCUUCUCUGGUUGUUUCCACUUCCACUACAAUGGCAGAUUUUACCUCCAACACCUAAUGACAUCAUAUAAUAAAACACUAGUAAGGAGGAGCUAGUCAAACCAACAAACAGAAAAGCCACUGUUAGCCUGAAAGUUAAUGUCAUGUUCAAAUGGGAGAAAACAGGUCUUCGGGAAGCAUUCAGAAAAAAUACUCCUUCAUUUAAGUAGCAGCAGCUCAGAAUAAAGCACUGAAAAAAAUAGAAACCGUGAAGAGGCUUCAGUUUAUUGAUGUUCCAAACCAGCUUUCCAGAAUUUCAGAAGAGAGGGAGGAGAGAGGGGGGAAAAGAGUUCACAUCCAACUUAAAAGAAAUCCCAUGACUUAUCUCAGUCGGAAGCCUUUGCUGAGCCAAAUGUAUGUGCAUUUUAGCACACAUUUCCUAUACCACAGAACCUAGGGUGAAACAUGGUUGUUGAUUACCAUAUUAAAAC